rnacentral:pre_miRNA from 1 species
UGGAUACCAGUAGACAGAUAAAAAGAAAAAAAUGUUCUGCUUAAUUGAAUAUGAGAUUAUGAUAUUGUUUGUGCUAUUGUCUCUAUA